GCGUUGGGAGCUCUCCCAUAUGGUCGACCUGCAGGCGGCCGCGAAUUCACUAGUGAUUCGUAUUACCGCGGCUGCUGGCACGUAGUUAGCCGGUGCUUAUUCUUCAGGUACCGUCAUUAGGAUCGGAUAUUAGCCAAUCCCGUUUCUUCCCUGACAAAAGAGCUUUACAACCCGAAGGCCUUCUUCACUCACGCGGCAUUGCUGGAUCAGGCUUGCGCCCAUUGUCCAAAAUUCCCCACUGCUGCCUCCCGUAGGAGUCUGGGCCGUGUCUCAGUCCCAGUGUGGCUGGUCGUCCUCUCAGACCAGCUACUGAUCGUCGCCUUGGUAGGCCUUUACCCUACCAACUAGCUAAUCAGAUAUCGGCCGCUCCAGGAGCAUGAGGUUCUUGUGAAUCCCCCACUUUCAUCCUUAGAUCGUAUGCGGUAUUAGCGUAACUUUCGCUACGUUAUCCCCCACUCCAGGGUACGUUCCGAUAUAUUACUCACCCGUUCGCCACUCGCCGCCAGGUUGCCCCGCGCUGCCGUUCGACUUGCAUGUGUAAGGCAUGCCGCCAGCGUUCAAUCUGAGCCAUGAUCAAACUCUAAUCGAAUUCCCGCGGCC
rnacentral:rRNA from 1 species